AUUGAACGCUGGCGGCAGGCCUAACACAUGCAAGUCGAGCGAGCGGCGGACGGGUGAGUAAUGUCUGGGAAACUGCCUGCUGGAGGGGGAUAACUACUGGAAACGGUAGCUAAUACCGCAUACCAUCAGAUGUGCCCAGAUGGGAUUAGCUAGUAGGUGGGGUAAUGGCUCACCUAGGCGACGAUCCCUGGCUGGUCUGAGAGGAUGACCAACAACACGGGAACUGAUACACGGUCCAGACUCCUACGGGAGGUAGCAGUGGGGAAUAGUGCACAAUGGGCGCAAGCCUGAUGCAGCCAUGCAGCGUGUAUGAAGAAGGCCUUAGGGUUGUAAAGCACUGUCAGCGGGGAGGCGUUACCCGCAGAAGAAGCACCGGCUAACUCCGUGCCAGCAGCCGCGGUAAUAC
rnacentral:rRNA from 1 species